GUGAGGAAUAUUGGUCAAUGGACGGAAGUCUGAACCAGCCAUGCCGCGUGAAGGAUGAAGGCGUUCUGCGUUGUAAACUUCUUUUAUUUAGGAAGAAACCACCGAUUUCUAUUGGUGUUGACGGUAUGAAAUGAAUAAGCACCGGCUAACUCUGUGCCAGCAGCCGCGGUAAUACGGCGGGUGCGAGCGUUCUCCGGAUUUACUGGGCUUAAAGGGUGCGCAGGCGGUCUUAUAAGUCCGGUGUGAAAUACUACAGCUCAACUGUAGAACUGCCUUGGAUACUAUAGGACUUGAAUCGAGUAUAGGUCAGCGGAAUACAACAUGUAGCGGUGAAAUGCAUAGAUAUGUUGUGGAACACCGAUUGCGAAGGCAGCUGACUGGGCUUGAAUUGACGCUCAGGCACGAAAGCGUGGGUAGCGAACAGGAUUAGAAACCCCAGUAGUCC
rnacentral:rRNA from 1 species